rnacentral:miRNA from 1 species
UCUGCGAAAAUGUGAUUUCGGA